CCUACGGGCGGCAGCAGUGAGGAAUAUUGGUCAAUGGACGAGAGUCUGAACCAGCCAAGUAGCGUGAAGGAUGACUGCCCUAUGGGUUGUAAACUUCUUUUAUAUGGGAAUAAAAUGUUCCACGUGUGGGAUUUUGUAUGUACCAUAUGAAUAAGGAUCGGCUAACUCCGUGCCAGCAGCCGCGGUAAUACGGAGGAUCCGAGCGUUAUCCGGAUUUAUUGGGUUUAAAGGGAGCGUAGGUGGAUUGUUAAGUCAGUUGUGAAAGUUUGCGGCUCAACCGUAAAAUUGCAGUUGAAACUGGCAGUCUUGAGUACAGUAGAGGUGGGCGGAAUUCGUGGUGUAGCGGUGAAAUGCUUAGAGAUCACGAAGAACUCCGAUUGCGAAGGCAGUUCACUGGACUGCAACUGACACUGAGGCUCGAAAGUGUGGGUAUCAAACAGGAUUAGAUACCCCAGUAGUC
rnacentral:rRNA from 1 species